UAUAUCCUCCAGGAGACGAGAGCUACAGACAAGUAAUCGUUAAAAACAAUAGCGAUAUUAUAGAAGCUUCUCUUGUGAACGACAAAAACAGUCGCCAAGAUCGCGAAUAUUUGUCGCCGCGUGGAAGACGAGAUUCGCGAGAGAGCAGGCAUCGUUCAAGGUCAAAGGAAAGACGACGCUCUAGAUCCAGGUCAUAUGAUCGGCGAUCUCGAUCACCACGCCGUGAGAGGAGCAGAUCACGUGACAGAUACUCGUCUCGACGUCACGGAAGUCAUAGAAGAAGUCGAAGCCGAUCCCGAUCUCGAUCCUAUUCAAGAGACAGGAGGAAUAGUAGAAAAAGGUCAACGUCUGCUAGAGACGACCGCGUUCUUGAUCAAGCAGACGACAAAGGAAAAAGGGAAAGAAAAUUUGUUGAAGAGCCUAGUAAUCUUAACAAUAUUUCGUCGAAUACAGAAGAAAGCUAUGCAGAUGACUCCAAGGAAAAUGCAGACGAUGAGGAGACGGAGUGGGAAAGGAGAAUCAGUAUGAAGAUGAUCGUCAAAGAUGAAGUCUGGGACAAUGAAGACGACGUAAAACCUGAUGAAGUCUCACAACCGGAAGCUCCAAAAGAUCUCCCGAUAUUCGACAUUCCGAAAGAGGACGAUGGCAGAGGAAAGCCCGAAAGCAAGGGCAGUGUCGUUGAAAAUGCAACUUGGGUCGUGGAGGAGAAACCUUCGGACGAAAACAAGGACUCGAAAGAGGAGAGCGAUAAUGAGGAGGAGAAGAAACAGUUUGUGUGUAAAGAGUGUGGAAAGGCACUGGGAUCGCUGAUGCAAUUGCGAGACCAUUUCACGGUGAAGCACAAGAAAGGGUACAACCUGCGAAAUAAGAGACCAGCGACAGACAUUAAGAAGUCCCAGCCGGUUGCAGAAAAGGAACCGAAACUUUCCGAGGAGCAGAAAGAAAUCGCUAAACUUAUUGAAGGAAUAGAAUAAACAACCUGUUUAACGCCCUUCCAUGUUUCAUGUGUGAUUCUGAAAUGUUGAUUUUUCUGCGUUCGCAGUCCGUACAUAUAGACUGUAUAAUUGUCGUGCAAGUUAUGUUUUUUUUAAUGGUUUACUAGUAUGCAUGCAUGUUCGUCUCAGCGAAUGUCGACAGCAAAUUAAUUUGUUCAUCGUUCAUAAAUGGAGAAGGCAAAUUUUUGUGCCUUUCAAGGUUUACGAAUAGUUUCAAUCUCCUUCUGUUCCAAUUAAAUGUAUUUAUAAAUCAGUCACCACUGCAUACACUGAAAGAAAGUUUUUGCAAUCGAUUGUUGAGGUUUGAUGUCAUUAAAAUUUACUUAUUCGAUGAAAUUGUGAAAUACUCUUAAUAAGACUAUAUGAUUCAAUGAAGACCAGCAAACAGCUGGGUUUGUUAUAUUGUUGUUUGAUUGUAUUCAGGUCUUUUUGGGUGCUAUAAGCAAUCCUGUGAAUGUCUACAUGUAUGUAUAUGUAUACGUUUAAACUGCACCGUUUGAUGUUAAUAAGAAAAAUGAAAAUAAUCUUUCAUGAUUAUCAGACAUAUUCAUUAAAUUUAUACGUUUAAUUUUGUCUACAAACUUUUGGCCUAACCUGUAAACAACCAGCACUCGGAAAUAAAGUUGUUUGUCAAU
rnacentral:sRNA from 1 species